GGAAUAUUUCACAGAAUGUGCACUUUUACCCGCAUUUAAUUAUUAUUUCCUUUCUGUGCUUCAUUAGCAUGUGUGUUAUAGAGAUGAGAGAGUUUGCCUUCCGUGAAACUAAUUUUGCUCCACAUUGUUUUGUUUAAGGUGGUUGUGGGCAACGAUAAAACCUUCACAUAUGACUGUGUUUGAUCCCACAACAAAGCAGGAGGAAGUGUUUAACACGGCCGUGUUGUCUCUGAUCUCUGGCCUAUUCAAAGGUUAUAACGCCACAGUGCUAGCGUACGGCCAGACCGGCUCAGGAAAGUCCUUCUCCAUGGGAGGCACCUACAAGAGAGCGCAAGAGAAAGAACCUACUGUUGGCGUCAUCCCCAGAGUGGUUCGGAAAAUCUUUCAGGAAAGAGACAAGAGGACAGAGUGUGAAUUCCUCCUCUCUGUUUCAUAUCUUUAGGUCUGAGGAAGCUGCAAACGUGUUGAAGAUUCUGGAGUGUAACCGGCGUCUACAGUAGGGGUGUACCUCGGACGGGAAGUGGCGUAAGGGUGCACCGCUGAUGUUAGCAUUAGCAAACCUAGUUUUAAACAUUACCAUGGCUGAAUCCUAAAGAGUCAGACCGGCCCCCGCGGCGUGCAGAGCUGACGUGUGGGCUCAUUUUGGCUUCCACAAUAAAGAAGGCACCAAGGAGGUCAACAAGAGCCAUGCUGUUUGCAAAAUGUGCAAUGCAAAAAUCAAAUACUCAGGGAACACAACGAAUCUGAGAGCACACUUGGCCAGACACCACUCGAAUGUACAGCUAGUGGCUUACUCUAAACAAGUGGACCCUUCUCAUCUCAUUCUGGUACAAGUUCAUGCACCGAUGUUACCACCAACUUCAACUCGUGCAACUAAAAUAACUCAGUCAGUACUUUACUUCAUUUGCAAAGAUAUGCAACCUCUCAGUAUUGUAGAGAAUGAAGGAUUUCGUAAUAUGAAUACACUGGAGCCUCGUUAUAUCAUACCCUCCCGACAACACAUCACUGACAUCGCUCUGCCCAAGUUGUACAUGGAGGUAAAAACAAGAGUGGUAGAAUCUCUCGGCUCAGCUAAAAAACAGGUUAAUUGCAGACGUUGUCACAAGGUGGAACAGCUUUUAUGACAUGAUAGAAAGAUUUUUAGAACUGCAGCCAGCCAACUUGGUAAUGUCAGAGGAGAGCAUGCCCACUCUAUCAUUGCACGACUUUAUGCCAAGCUUGUUGCGGACACAGAAGAAAGCCAGGAUGACACACAGACUGUGAAGGGCAUCAAGGCUGCUAUAGCAGAAGAUCUGGGAAAGAGAUGCCAAUAAGAGGGAGACACUGCGCAUGGCAUCAGCUGUUGACCCUAGGUUUAAGGAUCUACUCUUUCUCUCUCAAGCACAGGCCAGUGAGACCCACUCCAAAUUGACUGAAGCUGUGGUGGCUGCCAUAAAGAUCAGCAAGAGGAGGUAGACAGUCCAUUGGAGGAGACUGACCAGCUAGAGGAGGUUGAUCGCCCACCUGACUAUAAGCAUUCACCUGCUCCUUCCACUUCCCCUGCCCCCACUUCCCAACCACCUAUAAAGAGACUAAAGAGCUCAUGUGCAUUGGCUGACUUGCUUGGAUCUACAUUUGGCUCUGCCAAAGACAAUUCUGCGCCAAAGACAAUUCUGCACCAAAGUCCAUACAUGAUGUUGCUGCAUCUGAGAUUAAAAGGUUUAGAGAACAAACCCCUUUGCCACUCCCAGAAAAUCCUCUCAGUUGGUGGAAUGAACAUGAACAUGAGUACCCUCAGUUAUCCAGAGUAGCAAAGCAGUUCCUGUGCAUUCCUGGCAUGAGUGUCUCUGCGGAGACAGUUUUCCCCACUACAGGUGACACGAAGUGUUCUGAAGGCGGAGCAUGUUGACCAGCUGGUCUUUCUCCACAAACCUUAAUACUUGACAAAAAUAAGCACUAACAUGCGAACUACAGUAAUGUGAAAUCCAAGUUAAAAGGAUCUAAGAAUGUUUACAUUUGUUUAAUGUUUCCUUUGGAAAUCCUGUAAGCACUUAUUUUUCAUUGAUAAUGGUAGAUUUAAAUCCCUUGCUCAGGUUGCACAAAAAUAGUGUUAUGUUGGAUGUUACAAUGAGACUGAGCACUUUUAUUUCUUUACUGAUGCAGACAAAUCUUUUGUUCAGAUUGCACAGAAGUAGUGCUAUGUUAAGUUCUGAUAAACUUGACUUUUUGCCAAGAUUUUAUGUGUAUGGUGGUGUGUUGCUUAUUCCAUGACAGUUUUCCUACAAUUAGAUUUUUAAAAAAGUCGCAAUAUA